rnacentral:lncRNA from 1 species
GCAAAGAAAAUUCCCAAGAAACUAGUAAAUACCGAGUCGUCAGCUCAACAACAUUAUACAAGUCUGAAAAUAAGUAAUAUCUGAACUGUAACAACAGCACAAUAGGAAAAGACAAGUCAAUAGUGUGACCAAGGAUGCAGCACAUAUUGUAGUAUGAGUACAACCGACCUAAUGUAUUCAAUAAGUAUCCUACUAACCUCGGCGAGGUAAAACAAGCAAGAACGAUGAAUUAAACUAGCUAUUACCUCUAUUGUUUCAUCAUUUGUAACAAAUGCAAACAAACCAUAAAAAAUCAUCUAAUUUCAAUCACAAAUCGACCCUCAAGUCCUUAAAUUUAACUCUCCAAUAACAUAGUCCAAAAAUCCCAAAAAUCUGAUUUAUAUUCAUGAGCAAUAGGUGAAAUAAUCAAUAGGUAUUCAAUAUUCAUGGAUAAAAGUGACUAAAAGUCAUUUACCCCUUCAAUCAAGGUGGAAACCUCUCCAAAUAUUGUCCUAGUCCAAACUCCAAAAUUCCCAAAAUGAAAGAAGACUCGAACCCUUGAUUUUAAAUCACAUGUAGUGAUCCCGCUUCGGCGGACAAAAUUAGCACCCCUGCGCUCCCGCUUUUGAAGAAAAAGCUUUGCUUCUGCGAAACACAUUAAACUCCAGACUUGCCGCUUCUGCAGCAAAAAAUUCUGCUUCUACACUAAACCUCAUGCUUAUGUAUGUGCGCACCUACAAAAACUAUCCGCAUAUGCAAAUCUGCUUCUGUGAAACUCCCCUCGCAGAAGCGACUUUGUUUCUGCAAAUACACUUAUUGCACCUGCGAAGUUCCAUAGCCAGAACCAAAUUCCAAAACUCUUCUGGCAUGCUUUAAGUCCAAAUAUCGAUCUGUUAACUAUCCGAAACUCGCUCGAGGUCUCCGGGACAUCAACAAAACAUAUGAACAAGUCUUAAAACACGAUUCGAACUUAAUCAGGGCUUUAAAUUAUAUCGAACAACAUAGAAAUCACGAGAACACCCCAAUUCUAUCCAAUGGAGUUCUUAUCUUCACUUGCCUUUUUUUGGAGACUUGAGUUGCUCUAGCAUACAUUUGUGUGUUGUCGAUUUCUUUUUUCAG